UGGGGAAUAUUGGGCAAUGGAGGGAACUCUGACCCAGCAACGCCGCGUGAAGGAAGAAGGUUUUCGGAUUGUAAACUUCUGUCGCGAGGGACGAAGAAUGACGGUACCUCGUAAGAAAGCCCCGGCUAACUACGUGCCAGCAGCCGCGGUAAUACGUAGGGGGCGAGCGUUGUCCGGAAUGACUGGGCGUAAAGGGAGUGUAGGCGGCUUUAUAAGUUAGAUGUGAAACCCCACGGCUUAACCGUGGAACUGCAUCUAAAACUGUAGAGCUGGAGUGCAGGAGAGGUAAGUGGAAUUCCUAGUGUAGCGGUGGAAUGCGUAGAUAUUAGGAGGAACACCAGAGGCGAAGGCGACUUACUGGACUGUAACUGACGCUGAGGCUCGAAAGCGUGGGGAGCAAACAGG
rnacentral:rRNA from 1 species